rfam:Gossypium hirsutum cultivar TM-1 chromosome 5, whole genome shotgun sequence
UAUUAAAAAAUUCAUUCAUUUUUAUUGUUAAAAAAUUGAAAUGAUUGACAAAAUAAUCAGACAGUUACACAUGGCGUGUCAAGUUUACCACAUGCUAACAUGUACGGACCAAUUUUUAAUUGUAAAAAUUGACGAAAUUUUUAACC